GGGGCCCCCGGGCGGCGCAGCUGUUAAGUUCAAACGUCCCGCUUCAGCGGCCGGGGGUUCGCCAGUUGGGAUCCUGGGUGCGGACAUGGCACCGCCUGGCAAGCCAUGAUGUGAGGCAAAGAUGACCUUGCGUCUCACCAUCCAUAACCAUGCCUGGCUCUCCUUGCUGUCAAUGAUGCAUUUGCAAGACUGCACCCAGGCCUUGGACGGAAACAUUCAACACAAGUGGAGGCCUUCCCGCCCCAGUGCUGUCCAGGCCGCCACACUGCCCUGUGCGAGGGAGAUGGGAGGUAAAAAACGCUCUCCACAGGUGGCAGAGUGAUUCAACAGAAGGGCCCACAAGACUCCACAGCAGGUUACAGACUCACUGAGACGUAUAAAGCAAAGGAUACAGAGCGACAGCAGCAGGAAAAAGACGUGCAUGAAUGGAGCCCAGAGAGGUUCAACACAGACUUCCAAUAUCCUUCGUGGUUCAAGGCCACACAGGAGAACUCCCUCUCACCAUUAACUGUGGGGACAUGUGUGGAAUGCCUUUGCCCAUGGAAGCCUGUUUGAGUCUCAGAGUCCAAGGCUUUUAUGGAGAUCUGGCCACACGGGUAUAUUCUGCCAUGCAACCAGCCACGACAACCAAAACUCACGACCCUCACCAUGAAACCAGGUGCACAUCACUGAUCUUGACGUUUGUACAAAGCAACCUGACAAGCAGUGAUUUAACGAUGCUGCUUCGUAAUCUCAGUACAUUUCCCUGUAGUCAGCAGAGCUGCCGAGAGACGUCAAGUCACCCUACUAGACACUUCAUGGAUGCCCAUCAGAACCUUCAUACUCUUUGGGAAAACCAUAAAAAUAGGCCAGGACAGAGCAUAUGAGACCUAGGAGGAACCACACCACCACCAGUCAACUUCCCCAUCUUAGAGACAAGCAAGUGGGAACACUGAGCAGUGAAAUGACUCACCCAAGGUUCUAAGUCUAAGGUCUUUGAAUUAAAAACCUCUCUUGGAGGGGCUGGCCCCGUGGCCGAGUGGUUAAGUUGGCGCGCUCCGCUGCAGGGGGCCCAGUGUUUCGUUGGUUCGAAUCCUGGGUGCGGACAUGGCACUGCUCAUCAAACCACGCUGAGGCAGUGUCCCACAUGCCACAACUAGAAGGACCCACAACGAAGGAUAUACAACUAUGUACUGGGGGACUUUGGGGAGAAAAAGGAGAAAACUAAAAUCUUUAAAAAAAAAAAAAAACCUCUCUUGGAACUCCUGAAAUGGGUCAAGGCAAUGUCUGCUCAGAUGCUUCUGAUUGUCUUUAACAUGGGCAGAAACUGGAGGAGUCCUGACUGUUGGAGCUGCCUGAACCAAGUGUGCAUGGGCCAAUCUCUUUCAGUCUGGCUAGGCUUCCCAUCCUUCCUUCUCUCGUCCCUUCUCCAGUGGCCUGACAGAAGCACCAGGAUUCUGUCUAGAGCAUUGCCCAUGCUAUUGGGUCAAUGGUCCAGUUUGGAACCUAGCAAGAGAUUGAUUUCAUCUUCACUAAAAUUUUUCUUCUCUUCCCUUCAUUUACUCUCUUGUCUGUUGGGGGGUGGUGUCUGUCUCUCCACUGGACUGUAAAUUCCGUGAAGGCUUCCUGGAAGCAGGUUAUACAGUGUUAUGGUUUUGGGUAGUGAAGUCAAUGGUCCGGGGUCUGAAUUCUGGUUUAGCAUCUCACUGGCUUGUGUGAUUUGAGUGAGUUACUUAGUGGAAAUACCAAUAGUUCCUCCCUCACAAGGUUACUGGGAGGACAAAAGGAAGUAAUAACACUUAAGUAGCAUAGAGUUUGGCAUACAAGAAAUGUUCAGUAAAUAUUAGCUAUUAUUUUUUAAAUAGGUACUCCAUUUAUUUUGGAAAAUUCUACUCUCUGCUCUUUUUAACAGUUUUAUUGAGGUAAUGGACAUAUAAUAUACACUGUACAUGUUUAAAGUAUACAGUGUCAUAAGUUUUGGGUUUUUUUCUCCUCUUUCUUUUAAGUGUGCUUUUUGGUGAGGAAGAUUGGCCCUGCGCUAACAUCUGUUGCCAAUCUUCCUCCUUUUUUUUUUCUCUCCAUUACAUAGUGGUAUAUCCCAGUUGUAGGUCAUUCUAGUUCUUCUAUGCGGGACACCGCCACAGCAUGGUUUGAUGAGCAGUGCAUAGAUCUGCUCCCAGGAUCCGAACCGGCAAACCUUGGGCCUCCAAAGAGGAGCACAUGAAUUGCAAACUUAACCACUUGGCCAUGGGGCUGGCCCAAACAGUGUCAUAAGUUUUGAUGUGUACACAUCUGUGAAACCAUCACCACAAUCUAGUUAAUGAACAUAUCCAUAACCCUCAAGAGUUUAUAUCCUUUUGUAAUCCCUUUCCCUGUCUACAGGAAACCAGUGUUUACUCUGUGUCUCUAUAUGUUAGCUUGCAUUUUCCAGAAUAUUAUAUAAAUGGAAUCAUAUAGUAGCCACUCUUUUUCGGCAUCUUUCACCCAGCAUUAUUCUGAGAUUCAUCCAUGUUGCUGAGUGUAUCAAUUGCUGAGUAGAUACACAGCAAUUUGUUUAUUCAUUCACCUACUGAUGGACAUUUGGGUUGUUUCCAGUUUUGAGGUAUUAGAAAUAAAAUUUGUAUUAACAUUUGUGUACAACUCUUUGUAUGGAAAUAUGCUUACAUUUCUCCUGGGAGUAGAAUGGGUGGGUCAUAAGUCAGGUAUAUGUUUAAGUUUUUAAGAAACUGCCAAAUUGUUUUCUAAAUGGUUGUACCAUUUUGCAUUCUUAUCAGUAGCCUAUGAGAGUUCCAGUUGCUCCACAUCCUCCAUGACAAAACCCUCAGGUACUCUUGCCAUAGAAACAUAGUCAUAGUUCCUGUAGUUAAAAACACGUGAGAAAUAUUGGGUUUCUUUAUCCUAGGACUUGUUAGCGGAUUAAGGCAGUAAUGUGGUGGAACCUAUGAGUGGAUAUCACACGCAGUGUCCUCACACUGACUGACCCAUGGAACUCUUUAUUCGAGGUUCAUGUCUAGCAAUCAGUGUUCUAUGGAACACAUCUCGGGAAACGCUGCCUUGGGGAUUGCUCUGUGCAAAGCCUUAAAGAGGGCUGGGAAAUGUAAAUGUUUACUAUAGCAGCCAGGGACUAAGCCGUUAAUCUGAAAUUCUCUUGUGCACCUUAUAAGGUAUAACACAUUCUACUUUUCUGGGUCAGAAAGAAAACUAUGACUAGAAGCCAGAUAGGGAAAUCGAAGUUUCUUGGGAUGUGAUCUGACCAAAUUAUUCAAUCAAGGGUUUCUCUAAUUUCGCUUUUGGAGUAAAUCCACAGAUGAUGCCCCAUCCCCCAAUCAGCACAGUGUUGACACUGAUUCUUCACAAAUCCCUUAUACACUGCCA
rnacentral:lncRNA from 1 species